AGAAGUCAAUACAAGAAGACCAAUCUCCGUGUUAACUUUUUAUUGUAAUUACGAGUGAACGAAACAUGGAAACUGAAACACCCAGAACGCCGAUACAGAAUUUUUAUGCCGGACAGUCGAUCUUCAUUACAGCAGGGGCCUAUACGUAUCACUCGGCACUGUUCGGAACGCGCGCGCGCGUGCUGGCCGAAGCAGCAGUCAUCUAACGAGCGCUUAAAUUAGACACUUACACACUAGAUUCCGUUUCUUUUAAAUUUCAACAUUAUAUAUUUGUAUU
rnacentral:lncRNA from 13 species